rnacentral:rRNA from 1 species
UACAGAGGGGGCAAGCGUUGUUCGGAAUUACUGGGCGUAAAGGGCGCGUAGGCGGCCUUCUAAGUCGAACGUGAAAUCCCCGGGCUCAACCCGGGAACUGCAUCCGAUACUGGAUGGCUUGAAUCCGGGAGAGGGAUGUGGAAUUCCAGGUGUAGCGGUGAAAUGCGUAGAUAUCUGGAGGAACACGGUGGCGAAGGCGGCAUCCUGGACCGGUAUUGACGCUGAGGCGCGAAAGCUAGGGGGAGCAAAACGGG